rnacentral:rRNA from 1 species
GAUGAACGCUGGCGGCGUGCCUAAUACAUGCAAGUCGAGCGAACAGACGAGGAGCUUGCUCCUCUGACGUUAGCGGCGGACGGGUGAGUAACACGUGGAUAACCUACCUAUAAGACUGGGAUAACUUCGGGAAACCGGAGCUAAUACCGGAUAAUAUAUUGAACCGCAUGGUUCAAUAGUGAAAGACGGUUUUGCUGUCACUUAUAGAUGGAUCCGCGCCGCAUUAGCUAGUUGGUAAGGUAACGGCUUACCAAGGCAACGAUGCGUAGCCGACCUGAGAGGGGGAGCGCCGCCACUGGGACUGUGACACGCUCCACAGUCCUACGGGAGGCAGCAGUAGGGAAUCUUCCGCAAUGGGCGAAAGCCUGACGGAGCAAAGCGGCGUGAGUGAGAAAGGUCUUCGGAUCGUAUAACUCUGUUAUUAGGGAAGAACAAAUGUGUAAGUAACUAUGCACGUCUUGACGGUACCUAAUCAGAAAGCCACGGCUAACUACGUG